rnacentral:rRNA from 1 species
UGCGCAGGCGGUUUGCUAAGACAGGUGUGAAAUCCCCGGGCUUAACCUGGGAACUGCGCUUGUGACUGGCAGGCUAGAGUACGGCAGAGGGGGGUGGGAAUUCCACGUGUAGCAGUGAAAUGCGUAGAGAUGUGGAGGAACACCGAUAGGCGAAGGCAGCCCCCUGGGCCUGUACUGACGCUCAUGCACGAAAGCGUGGGAGCAAACA